rnacentral:rRNA from 1 species
AGCGAACGCUGGCGGUAUGCCUAACACAUGCAAGUCGAACGGCAGCACAGUAAGCGCUUGCUAUUACGGGUGGCGAGUGGCGGACGGGUGACGCAUACAUCAUAAUCUACUUUUUCGUGGGGGAUAACUUAGGGAAACUUACGCUAAUACCUCAUACCACCUACGGGUGAAAUCAGGGGAUCUUCGUACCUUUCCCGCUUGCAUGAGCCGAUGUCGGAUUAGUUAGUUGGCGGGGUAAAGGCCCACAAAGGCGACGAUCCGUAGCUGGUCGGAGAGGAUGAUCGGCAAAACUGGAACUGGACAACGGCCAAACCUCCAACGGGAGGAGGAAGAGGGGAAUAUUGGACAAUGGGGACAAGCCUAACCCAGCAAGACGGCGUGGGUAAAAAAGGCCUUCGAGUUGUAAAGCCCGUUUGUAGGGAAAGAAGAGCAGCAGGGUAAAAAGCCGCUCUACUGACGGUACCUAAAGAAAAAGCAACGGCUAACUACGUG